UACGGAGGGUGCGAGCGUUAAUCGGAAUUACUGGGCGUAAAGCGCAUGCAGGUGGUUUCUUAAGUCAGAUGUGAAAGCCCGGGGCUCAACCUCGGAACCGCAUUUGAAACUGGCAAACUAGAGUGCUGUAGAGGGGGGUAGAAUUUCAGGGUGUAGCGGUGAAAUGCGUAGAGAUCUGAAGGAAUACCAGUGGCGAAGGCGGCCCCCUGGACAGCACACUGACACUGAGAUGCGAAAGCGUAGGGGAGCG
rnacentral:rRNA from 1 species